ACCCCCCCCCCUUUUUUUUCCCCCCCCCUUUUUUUUUUUGGGGGGGGAAAAAGGGGGGGGGGGAAAAAAAUUUUUCCCCCCAAAAAAAGGGGGGCCCCCCCGGGGGGGGGGGGGUUUUGGGGGGGGGGGGAAAAA